GAGAAGAUGUUAUUAGCAAUGUCACAGCAGAAGAUCAAAAUCACAAUUUGCUGACCACCUACCAGCAAGGAAGACAGGGGACUGAGAGGGCAGAAGACCUUGACAUUCAUUUGAAAUAAAUAUAAGUGGAAGGAGGAGUGCUAUUUACUGGGCUCCCUCGAAGACCUCAAACAUCCCUUGAGAACACAGGAGAAACCAACUGCAUAAAAGCCUCAUCCAGAGCCACUGGCCACCCCAAGGUAUACCAAUCUGGGGCUUGGGAAAUGAAAGCCGAAAUGGCACAGUGGCUGGCUGAGCAAGGAUCAUGUGGUACUCCCAGUGAAAACUCAAGUACAAAUUUAGUAGCAACAUUUAGCCCAGAAGAAUGUCUCCAGGAAUGAAUCACGAAGGGAAUAUUGUCAUUUGUGCAAAGAGACGGAGGGUUAUGGGGAAAAGGUGGCUAGAGAUUCUUGUUGAUGUUGAUGAAAACAGAUGGCCUUUUUUUGAAAAACAGCAAGCCAAAACAACAGCGCCGUUAUUCCAGGAGAGAAGAGAUUUUUCUAUUGACAUCUCAUCAAAAACCCAUCUCUUAUGCUUUUUAACCCCCUAAGG